AAUAAAAUGGCUGAGGGGUAAGCGGUAAAUUGUAAAUUUAUUUACGGGAUAAAUUCUCUUUUAUUA
rnacentral:tRNA from 1 species